GAUGAUGUAGUCUAGUGGUAAGACAAUAACCUUCAAAGCUAGAGGUCAUGAGUUGAAACCUCCAUCUUGCUUU